ACCCCUAUAGCUCAGUGGGUCAGCAUCAGUCUUGUAAACUGAAGGCCCGUAGUUCGAUCCUGCGUGGGGGCA